UACGGAGGGGGCUAGCGUUGUUCGGAAUUAUUGGGCGUAAAGCGCGCGCAGGUGGUUCCUUAAGUCUGAUGUGAAAGCCCACGGCUCAACCGUGGAGGGUCAUUGGAAACUGGGGAACUUGAGUGCAGAAGAGGAAAGUGGAAUUCCAAGUGUAGCGGUGAAAUGCGUAGAGAUUUGGAGGAACACCAGUGGCGAAGGCGACUUUCUGGUCUGUAACUGACACUGAGGCGCGAAAGCGUGGGGAGCAAACAGG
rnacentral:rRNA from 1 species